rnacentral:rRNA from 1 species
GGUGAACGCUGGCGGCGUGCUUAAGACACGCAAGUCGAACGCAGUCUUCGGACUGAGUGGCGCACGGGUGAGUAACACGUAACUGACCUACCCCCAAGUCGCGAAUAACCAGCCGAAAGGAUGGCUAAUACGUGAUGUGAUGAUCCGCUGUGGCGGAUCAUUAAAGACUUGAUCGCUUGGGGAUGGGGUUGCGUUCCAUCAGCUAGUUGGUAAGGUAAAGGCUUACCAAGGCAACGACGGGUAGCCGGCCUGAGAGGGUGGCCGGCCACAGGGGCACUGAGACACGGGUCCCACUCCUACGGGAGGCAGCAGUUAGGAAUCUGCCACAAUGGGCGCAAGCCUGAUGGAGCGACGCCGCGUGAGGGAUGAAGGUUCUCGGAUCGUAAACCUCUGAACCAACGACGAAAGACCCGACAAGGGAGAUGACGGUAGUUGGGUAAUAGCACCGGCUAACUCCGUGCCAGCAGCCGCAGUAAUAC